GAUGAACGCUAGCGGCAGGCUUAACACAUGCAAGUCGAGGGGCAGCGGGGGGCGCGCUUGCGCGUCCCGCCGGCGACCGGCGCACGGGUGAGUAACACGUAUGCAACCUGCCCCCGCCAGGGGUACAACCCUCCGAAAGGGGGGCUGAUACCGCGUACAUCCCCCGGGGGCAUCCCCGGGGGAGGAAAGCCCUACGGGGCGGGCGGGGAUGGGCAUGCGGCGCAGUAGGAAGACGGCGGUGUGACGGACCACCGUUCCGACGAUGCGUAGGGGUUCUGAGAGGAAGGCCCCCCACACUGGUACUGAGACACGGCCCAA
rnacentral:rRNA from 1 species